AAUGAACGCUGGCGGCGCGCCUAAUACAUGCAAGUCGAGCGAGAAGACGUAGCAAUACGUUUGUAAAGCGGCGAACAGGUGAGGAAUACAUGGGUAACCUACCCUCGAGUGGGGAAUAACUAGCCGAAAGGUUAGCUAAUACCGCGUACGCUCCUUGGACUUCGGUUCAGGGAGGAAAGCGAUACCGUGGGUAUCGCGCUCUUGGUUGGGCUCAUGUCCUAUCAGCUUGUUGGUGAGGUAACGGCUCACCAAGGCUUCGACGGGUAGCUGGUCUGAGAGGACGAUCAGCCACACUGGCACUGCGACACGGGCCAGACUCCUACGGGAGGCAGCAGUAAGGAAUAUUGCGCAAUGGGCGAAAGCCUGACGCAGCGACGCCGCGUGGGGGA
rnacentral:rRNA from 1 species